rnacentral:rRNA from 1 species
AAAAGAAACCAACAGGGAUUGCCUUAGUAACGGCGAGUGAAGCGGCAAAGGCUCAAAUUUGAAAUCUGGCACCAGCCCGAGUUGUAAUCUAGAGAAGAUGCUAUGGGAUGCUAGCAUGGCAUAAGGUUCCCUGGAACGGGGCGUCAUAGAGGGUGAGAAUCCCGUAAGUGCCAAAAAGCUAUGCAGACUUAUAUAGCUCUUUCAAUGAGUCGAGUUGUUUGGGAAUGCAGCUCUAAAUGGGAGGUAAAUUUCUUCUAAAGCUAAAUACUGGCCAGAGACCGAUAGCGCACAAGUAGAGUAAUCGAAAGAUGAAAAGCACUUUGGAAAGAGGGUCAAAAAGUACGUGAAAUUGUUGAAAGGGAAGCGUUUGCAACCAGACUUACAGUGUUGGGGUCAUAUCAGGCUCUUGCCUGGAAGUAGCUUCACAUUUGUAGACCAGCAUCGGUUUGAGUGGUAGGAUAAAGGCGGGUGAGGUGCAACGCCCGAUUUAUUGGGCUUGUCCUCAUCUGUGUCAUACUGCCUAUUUGGACCGAGGACCGCGCACAUGCUAGGAUGCUGGUGUAAUGGUUGUAAGCGGCCCGUCUUGAAACACGGACCAAGGAGUCCAACAAUUGCGCGAGUGUUUGGGUGUCAAGCCCACACGCGAAAUGAAAGUGAAUGAGGGUGGGAAUCUCUUCUGAGAUGCACCAUCGACCGAUCCUGAUGUCUUCGGAUGGAUUCGAGUAAGAGCGCAGCUGUUGGGACCCGAAAGAUGGUGAACUAUGCCCGCAUAGGCUGAAGUCAGGGGAAACCCUGAUGGAGGGUCGCAGCGGUUCUGACGUGCAAAUCGAUCGUCAAAUGUGGGUAUAGGGGCGAAAGACCAAUCGAACC